UUUAAGUAACAAACAGGUAUUGUACCUGCUGGUGCUCUAGGCGGAUUCUAGGCGCCUGGGGGGGGGGGGGGAGGCGGGGGGCACGUGGUGAAUGAGACAGACAAGGCACCAGAGAACUUUAGGUAGUGACAAGUGCAAGUAUGAAAACAGGACGAAGUGAUAGAUGUGACCGUGCGGCCGCCACGACGAGAGAAGAUGUCUCUGAGCAGGUGGCACUGGAGCUCCAGCCUGAUUAUUGAGAAGGGAGCAUCCACCGGGAGGAAGCGAGCUCCAGGUGGGGAGGCAGCGGCCGCUACAGGGCCUUGAGGCUGGAACGAACUGGUGCGCGCGCAGAGGAAAAGAAAAGCGCUUGUGGACGGCGCGGUCCGAAGUGGGGAGGGAGGGGAGGGAAGGAGAGAGGUAGGCGGUGGGCAGAUGGCUGUGUGCUUUGUCGGAAAGACGACGAAGGGUCUAGAGCAGGCGUCUGAUGUGAUGUCAUUUGCAGUUUGGGAACGGGCCUCCUGGAGAGAAGCACAUUGGGAGAGAGCGAGAGCGAGCGGAAGUGGAGGCAGCGCGAGGCCGGUCGUGGGGGCCAGGUGAGGGGGGGGCGGGGAUGGCGGCUCAGACCUCUCGGUGGCGCUACAGUCGGAGAGAGGAGGAGGCUGUUUUCCAGGUGAACGCACGGGGUGCAUAGUAUAACGCAUGGCCGUUAAGACUCCAUGGAAACUUAAGUUUAAUACGUUUUCGAAGGGCCAGGGCUAUGUUGUUCUCGCUCUUGGCCAGUCCAAGGCUUCCUGUUCGUGCCCUUCCAGGAAAAACAAUGACAAAGAUACAGAUCCUCCAGAAGAGAAAGUUGCUUGUCUGUUCCUGUCUCUGCAGAAUGUCAAUGUGCUUGGCAGGCAAGAGGAGGGGAAGGACAGCGGAUAUGUAUUAAGUGCCGACUGCAUACCUUGAUCUCAUUAUCUAAGAACCCUGCAAGCCUCACUUUUUUUUUUUUUUUUUUUUUUGAGAUGAGGAAACAAGUUCAGAGAGGUUAGUUUAAUUGUCCAAGGUCACAUAGCUAACAAGUGACAGGGCUGGGAUCCAAACCCAGGUCUGAGUCCAGUUCCUUCCACAUCGGGCGCUGGGCUGGUGAGACCAGGUGAGCACACUGAGUAGGCCUGCAUGGCCCCGAGGCUCCCCAGGGUUUUAGCUACUCCUCGGAUGAAAGCUGGUCUCUGUUGGGGGUCUGCUGACUUUUCCAGACCCUGGGGGUGUGCUGGGUGCAGUGAUGUUGAAGAGGCAUGUUUUAAGACAGUCCCAAUGGUCGGGAGAUUUCCCAAUGCCAGCGAAUCUAGUAAAGACAGAAGGAGUUUGGGUCUUGAGACAAGCUCAUUAGCACUCAUUACGUUUGGGUGAAAUCAAUUAGGGCUAACUGGAAGGUACAGCCUCUGCUCUCUGUUGACUCUUGAAAUGAGAGACUGAUGGUGGCUACCAGUUAUCAUGCAGGCGUGCUCCGGGGCAAAGACUCUGAUGACAGAGUCUAGGCUGUGAAUCCUGCCCCUGCUGCUCUGUGGCCAGUUGCUUGGUAGGAGGACUCCGAAGGGUUCUGGAGGGUGACUGUGUGUGUCACCUAAGACCCCUGUGGGUCUCAGGCAACUUAGAACGGACCGGGCCUUACAGGUUCCACCCGGCCUGACUGCCCAGGCCUGCGCCAGAGAACGACCGGGCGACGUGCCCAGUGACGGCACAAAGGAAGAGCCUCACACCCCGGGUUACACCCAAGGUUACGCAGAGCAGCAUGACACUGUGACCUUGUCUUCGGUGCUUUUGCCAUCUGCUGGGUGCUGCCUACUAGACUACAAGCUCAGUGCGGGAGGCCUUUUUUUCUCUCUUCUUGUUUCCACUGUGCUUGAGUGGGUUACCUGAGGUUGGCUGACAGAUAUGUCUGGACCCUCCAGGACUGGACAUGUCAGUGGGAGUUAAAAGCCCAGCAAGAGGAAACCAAGGCAUUAGGAAGAGUACGUUUUAGGAUCAGGUAAAAACUAGCUGCCAGCACAGGGAGGGAAGCCUUGGUUUUCCCAUCUGUGGAAUGAGGCGAUGAGGCAUGAGGUCGUGCACCCAAGUGCUUAGCAGAAUUCUCGGCACAUAGCGCUCACCAGAGUGAGUGCAUAGCGCUUCUACAACCACCCCCGGCGCCUUGCGUGGUUCUUCAUGUCUCGGUGGGAACUUUUACAUUUUUUUUGACUGUGACCCGCACCACAACCUUCUAAUGUGUGUGCAUGUCUCUUUAAAUAUAACCGAACUAUAAAUUUUGUGAACUAAGACCCUUACUAUGUGUGAUGAACUUUGACGGUUUGCAUUGUGUUCAGUUUUGUUGAAACAAUCCUGAAGGGGCAAAGGGUUACUUUCUGGGGUGAUGGACAUAUUCUGUAUUUUGAUGAAGGUGGUGGUGGCAUGGAUGUCUUUGCCCAAAAUCGUUGAACUCUAUAUUAAAAUGGGUGCCUUUUAUUGCGUGUCAGUUAGAUCUCAGUAGAUCUGCAACCCUCUAACUUUUAUUGAGACACAAUUCACAUUUCACAAAACUCGCCCUUUUAAAGUGGAUACUUAAGUGAUUUUUAGUAUAGUCACAGAGCAACUGUGACCACAGUCCAAGGUCAGAACAUUUUCAUUACUCCAGGAAGAAGCCCUGUACCCAUUAACAGUCACUUCCCAUCCCCCCAACCCUAGUCCCUGGCAACCACUAAUCUACUUUCUGUCUCUGUGGAUUCGCUGGUUUCAGUCUUGCGUGGCCGGGAGAGCAGCCUUUGAAGUUAGACUGGUUACUGGGCCUCUCAGGGGCCACCACUCACCACAACUGGGAUUUCUCUAUUUGGUCCUGGCACUGGGUGGUGAACUCCAAGAGCAUCAGAGACGCUGGCAGAUGACUCACAUCCUGUGUCCCCACCUCCUUCCUACACAGACCCCAGGCCUGUUCAGUCCUCCGGAAGUGCCCCUUGCUCUCCUGGUGAAGAUCUGGACGAUGAUGCACCAGUGAAGGAGUGGAGAAUGGACUUUCCAAAGUCCAUGGGCAAACCCAUCACAGAAAUGCAAAGAAGUGAUACAUUCACAUAGAAAAUCUUCCCAUUCUUGCCCUCAUCUGCAGAGACACCCUCUCCGCAUGCUGCAGAAGAGAGAACACUUCCAAAUUCAUUUUAUGAGGCCAACAUUACCCUGAUACCGAAACCAGACAAGGAUGCCACAAGAAAAGAAAAAUCCUUGACAAAAUAUUAGCCAACCAGAUCGAAUACAUGGAAAGGAGCACACGUCAUGGUCAACUGGGAUUUAUUCCAGGGAUGCAAGGAUGAGUCAACGUAUACAAAUCCAUCAAGAGGAUACAUCACACUGACAAAGUGAGGGAUAGAAGUUACAGGAUCAUCUAAAUGAAUGCAGAAAAAGUAUUUGAUAAAAUUCAACAUCAUAUAUGAUAAAAACAAAUGGCGAGUCCAGAGGGAACCAUGCCUCCACAUAAUAAAGGCCGUAUGUUUAUCCAGCCAGCAAAAAGAGUGAAAUCUUGCCAUUGGCAACAACAUGGAUGGAACUAGAGAGUAUUACGCUAAGUGUAAUCAGUCAGAGAAAGACGAAUACCAUGUGAUUUCACUCAUAUGUGGAACUUAAGAAAUAAAACAAGCAAAAGGGAAAAAGAGAGAGAGGCAAACCAAGGAACAGACUCUUAGCUAAGGAGAACAAAUUGAUGGUUACCAGAGGGGGUGGUGGUUAGAAGGAUGGGUGAGAUAGGGGAUGGGGAUGAAGGAUGAAGGAGUGCGCUUGUCCUGAAGAGCACCAGGUGUUUAAAAUAAAAACUUAAAAUAAACAAAUACAUACAUGCGUGCACGCAUGCAUACUGUAUGUGACAGGCCCGCAGCUAACAUCAUGCUCAACAGUGAAAGCUGAGAGCUUUUGCUCUAAGGUCAGGAACAAGACAAGGAUGCCCACUCUCAACACUUUUAUUCAACAUGGUAUUGAAAGUCCCAGCCUGAUUAUUUAGGAAACGCUUUGUAUUAUCUUUAUAAUUUUCUAUAAAGGUAAAACCAUUCAACAAAAUAAAGGCCUUUAAAAAAAUAAUUCAGGGGGCACCUGGGUGGCUCAGUCAGUUAGCAUCAGACUCUUGAUCGUGGCUCAGGUCAUGAUCUCACGGUUCGUGGGUUCGAGCCCCACAUCAGGCUCUGCACUGACAGUGUGGAGCCUGCUUGGGAUUCUCUCUCUUCCUCUCUCUCUGUCUCUGCCCCUCCUGAGCAUGCGCACGUGCACCGUCUCUCAAAACAGACAAACAAAAUAAAAAAAAUAAUAAUUUAGGCUCUGCCUUGGAGGAAUGUGGUGGCUGGGGGCAUGAACUUGGAGUGGGUUUCCUGGGUUCAAACCCUGGCUGUACCGUGACCUGGCUGUGGGCCCUAGAGAGAGAUGUAACCCUCUCGGUGGGACAAUGUCUUCUUCUGGAAAGUAAGUGGUAAUACUAGGACCUCCCUCAGGGGGGAGCUGUGAAGACCAAAUGAAAUACUCCACACAAGUGCUCGGCACCACCCUUGACUCUUCUAUAAGAGUAAGAAAUCGCAGCAGACAGAUCAGUGGCUGAGAGUGCAUUUCAGAGCCAGGCAGUCUGGAUUCAAAUUCUGGUCUCCAGUGUCUAUUUAUAAAUUUGUGGGCCAGUCAUUUGGACCGAGCCUCAAUUUCCUUAGCUAUAGAAAGGGCUGAAUAACGCCCACCCACAGGGUUGUUGGGAGGAUUGAAGGAGCUCCGUGCACAGGGUGAGCGCUGGCUCAGUGGUUGCUGCUGGAGUUGAGUAGAUGUGCAGUAAGAACUCAGGGGAGGAGCAAACAAAACCGCCCGGGCGUCCACGGAGGCUGCAGAAAGGGGCCCGCUCUGGCUUCUGGGCUGAGGCUGCUGAUGGGCUGCUUUGCAGUGCUCCAAGGUCCCAUGUGACCUCCUCCCCCACCCCGUGAGGUCCUCCCAGGUCCCCAGCUUUGGAACAAAGCCUCCGCCUGCCGUUCUGCCACUGUUCUCUGUCUGAACUCUGAUUAGGCCCUUAUCUCAGCGGCUUUGCCCUGCUUGGCUGCCUGUCACAUUCAAUUCCAUUCCAGGCCUUUCAUCCUGCCCUGGCCCGAGUGUCCCUGAGUGUGAGGUUGUGGGACAUGGGGCCUGGUCUCUAUCGUCCUUGAUUCCCACAAUCCUAAGCACCGGUUCCAGAACACAGCAGCCGCUCAGUUCAUGGCGGCUGAAGAAAAUAAAAUGAGAAGCUAACUCCCAGGCCUUGUUGUGGUUGGUUUUCAAGGCACCGAGAAACACCGGCGUACUCCCCCCUCCUCAAAAAUACCUCCUGUCUCUGGAUUCCCUCAACCCCCAAAUUCUACAAUUAGAGCUUCAUUGCUUUGGCUUAAACCAAAUUGGGGACCCCAUACUUGAUAAAAAUGCAACAUUCUGUAUCAUUCAGAAUCCUGGCAGCAAGCAGAAGGCACACUCAAAAGGGUUUAACUAAAAACAUAAAAUAAGACAGUUAGUGACAGGAGUGUUUACAGUGAAGUGUGCAGGAUGGAAGCUGCUGGCAGGGAUGGUGAGGCACCCUGGGAUGUGCGACAGCAGGCAGCUGGUAGCACCCUAGGGCAGAGGAGCCAAAGGGAGCCUAAUGGAAGCUGAGCCACGGAAGGGCCGCCUUGAGGGAGCACCGAUGCCGUGGUGAUGCAGACACUGCCCAGUGAUGCGAGGCUGCAGCGGGGACUAAAUAUCUCCUUGUUCCUCUCCUCUUGCCCUCAGAUCUCUCUGCAGUGCCCCCCCCCACUCCCGCCCCGCACCAUUGGCCACCCGGAAGCCGGAGGGUAAGGGGGCCCAAGGGUCCAGGCUCCCAGGGACGGAGAGCGAGAGAAAAUGGAUCUGGGCGGAGGGUAGAGGAGCAAACCGAGAACGAUAAGCCUUCAGAAGUGACGUGUUUCAAUCUUAUCAAUCGUGUGCAAUUCAGCAUAAAUGACCGCAUCCGAUCCUUUAAGAAGACGGAGGGGUAAGAGACCAGGGUCCUGAAGAUUUAGAAAGAGAAGAGCACCGCUGUUUGGGGAAAGCGUACAUCCCCUUAUGAGAAAAGGCAAACCUUGCCUGUUUCCUGUGGUGGUUCUAGAAUUUCCAUAUGUCUGCACACUUGUUCAUAAGGAUGGUAAUCUGGGGAUGGGUAGGAAACCACCAUUGAGCAAUCACAUGCUCCACUGAGGUCUGAGUAACUAGGGGUGGUGCUGAGGAGGAUUACGGAGCAUUAAGUUUCUCCCCCAUCUCAGCCAUUCCUUGGGCUCCUGCACAAAUCUUUGUCAUCGCAGGAUUUCUGGGAGCCUCAAAGAUGCUAAGGUGACGUGUGAUCCUGAGUUCUGGGAGAGGUGAUCUGGGAGACAUCCUUGACCCCAGGAGCCCCCUCACCAGGUCCACCCUGGGACCAGUGGGCCCCACUGUGGGAACUGCCGGGAUUUGGGUAGAUGGUCUUCAAAUCGGUGUCUGGGCAGUAGGGCAAAUGGGAUCAGUGGCUAAGGCUGUUGGGGAGCGGGGCGGGGGGGGGGAGGAGCAGUAGAGGAGCUCAGGGGCAGAGGAAGGGAGCCUUAGUGUGGGAUGAGGCUCCCUUGGGGCUGAGAAGGGCCAGGGAAUCAUCAAGGGCCUUGGCACAAAAGUGGGAUCCAGGGAGCAGGAGUCUGGGCAUCACCCACUGUAGCUUGUUGGGAAUAGAGGAACUCGGGCCACACCCCACGCCUCCUGAAUCAGGAUUUGCAUUUUCACCAGAUCCCUAUGUAAUUCUGCUUUGUGUAGUUUGAGAAGCCCUGCUCUGCUGAGCUUGUCUGCUCUUUUCCCCUCAGUGCAGCUGAGCUCUUUCCCCUCAGGGCCUUUUUCAUUCAGAAAGUCAUUCAACAAAUGCUGAGUGACUGGUCCUUGCCUAGUACUGGGAUUACAGAAAUUAAUAGCAGAGAAGCAAGUAGGAAACCACAACCCAGUAUGGAAAAUGCUACAGUAAGGAUGCCAUCCGUUGUCGGGUGGAGGAGGACCCGCAAGCUAUGGUGGGGAUGUGUGGCCAGGGAAUGCUUCUUGGAACUGCGUCCCUCCACCCUGCUCCUGACGCACUACUCACUUGGCCCCAAAUCCCCCUCCUCUGACUCUUUCACUGUUUGUGUGCUCCGUUUCAGUUCAUUAUCUAAGCAGUGCUCCUCUUGUUUCCUCCCACUCAAGCCCUAGUAGGGCCCUAAAUUCUGAAUGUGAGAGGUUGAAUGAAGGGAUGGAUGGAUGGACGUAUGGGACAGAUUAUCAGUACAGCAGGGAACAAUGAGACCCACUGCACUUUCCUAUCACCCACCAACCUGCUCUGCAGACCUCCUUAUCCAUCUCGUCCUGUCUAGAUAUUUUUGAAACGUGAGUGUUUAUUUCCUCGAUUAUGGGUUUUUCGAAGGAGCACAUCAAGCAUGCUAGGAGUUCUUGCAAAGAAAGUGGUUAAAAGUGAGGCAGCUGAGUGGCUCAGUUGGUUAAGUGACUGACUCUUGAUUUCAGCUCAGGUCAUGAUCUCACGGUUUGUUAAGGUUGAGCUCCUCAGCACAGAGCCUGCUUGGGAAUCCCUCUCUCUCCCUCUUUACCUCUCGCCCGCUUGCACUCUCCCUCUCUCUCUCUCUCCCUCUCUCAAAAUAAAUAAAUAAACUUAAAAACAGAAAAAAAGGAAAGUGGUUAAAAGCACAGACACAAGCCAACAUUCAAAUCCUUAUUUACUAGGUCAGUGACUUUGAGCAUGUUUCUUUACCUCUCCUGACUCAGUUUCCCCACCUGCUAAAUAGGGAUAAUAGGAGUACCACCCUUAUAGUGUUGCUGAGCGGGGGUCACAUGAGUGAUCUGUAAAGUGCCUAGGACAGUCCUGGCACUCGGUAAGUGCCAUGAAAGUGUUUGUUAUUCAUGAGAACUUGCUGUGUGUCGGGCCUGUGAUCCACUGGCCUGGUCUCAGGUAAUCAGGAAGGCCAAGAACAUCCUCUGUGAAAGGCAGACAGUGGGAGGCCGUUCUUCCCCUCACACACAUCAGAGAGUCUGAGCUAAAGGAGAAAGGUCUUUGUCCCCAGCAGGUGGCUUGCCUGGAGCCAUCACAGUCUGGUAACCACUUUCAUGGGGACUAGAAAGACCUUUUCCCCUGUCGUUCUCAUCAGGGCUCUGUGAUUGAUUCUCUUGUCAGGGACCUCCUCCUCUUUGAAGCCCCCCCCCCCUCCCCCCGGGGCUGGGCCUUUCCACGUCCUCCCCCUGCUAAUGGGAAGCCAGUCAGUUGGCUCUGGCGGGCAGAUGACGAAACCCAGGCUUGGCUGACUUUGAAACCAAUUUGUAGAGUUCACAUUUAGUGAGCUCUGAAGGCCAAAGGGCCAAUGUUUUUAACUUGGGAAUCCUCCGGGCCUUGAUUGGAUCUGUGUCUUCUGAGUCUCUGGGGCUCCCAGCUGCCUCCUACACGUCUAAUGGAAUAAGAAUCAGAACAUGCACCUUGACCUCUGAGACUGAGUAGUGUCGUGUGGAGGGGGGUUCUUACCUUGGACCAUUUCAAAGACAUUUGGCUGACCCUGCAGCUCUGAGAUGUUCUUGGAAACUUGGGGGAUUUGUUGCCAUGGCUUUCUAGCCAGGCUGCCUGUGAUGUUGGGGGAACAGGAGAGGUCUCUGCCUUUCAGCCCAGGGCCCGAUUGAGCAGAAGGAGGCACUCGGUCUUGGGGAACAAGAGGGCAAGUGACGCUCUUGGCCAGCUUGGGAAGUCUCAGAGGAGCUCUUGAGGUGGCUGCUGGGCCAGAGGUUGGGGGCAGAGCAAGCUGAGACUGUCACUUUCAGGGGCUGACUGUGGGGUCACAAGGACAGUGUAAAACUUCAGUAUUGCUGGAGUCUUUCUUUUUUUAAAUAUUUUAUUUUUAAGUAAUCUCUACACCCAAUGUGGGCCUCGAACUCACAACCCCCAGACCAAGAGUUGCAUGCUCCACUGACUAAGCCAGCCAGGUGCCCCUGGAGUUUUUACUCACUGCCAGCAGAUGUUGUCAGCUGAAACCGUUGGUUGUCACUUCCAGCACCCUACCCACAGCACUGUCUGGGUCAUGUGGGUAAUAGGCACCUGGCUGACCUUGACUUUUUCAAUCUACUGUUCCGUGAAGGAGCAAUGACACCAGACUAUCUUGGCCUUCACAGAAGACCCUCGGGUGUUUCUUUUUCUCUGUAAAAUCUUUUUAUUUCAAAACAAUUUCAAUUUCAAUUUUACAGAAAAGCGGCAAACAUAGCAUAUGUAUGAAGAAUUCCCAUAUGCCCUUCACCCAGAUUCACUGUUCACAUUUUGCUGCAUUUACUUGCUGUCUCUCUUUCCAUAUGUGUGUGUGUGUGUGUGUGUGUGUGUGUGCGCACGCACAUAUGUAUAUGCAGAAUUUUUUUUCUGAACCACUCAAAACUAAGGUGUAGACACAUUUACCCCAUAAUACUUCAAUGCAUAUUUCCUAAGAAUAAAUAUGUUUUAUUGCAACACCACAAUAUGAUUAUAAAAUUCAGAAGCGUUAACAUAGUACUGAUCCAAUACUAUUAUUUAAUCUACAGUUUGUAUUCCAAUUUGACCAAUUUCCAGUAAUGUAUUUUCUAGCCACUUUUCCCCCCAUCCAGGAUCUAAUCCAGGACAAGCAUUACAUCUUGUUGUCAGGUGACUAAAAGUCUCUAGAAAUGCUCCUUAAUCUAUCUUUGUGUUUCAUGUCCUCGGGAAUUUUCCAAAUGAAAAUCAACCCGAAGACAUUCUUGAGGCUGUAACUACUCUAAAUGCUAACUCAAAAACAAAAAAAUCCUUUCCAGUUGUUGCCUUUGAAGCCUCAAGACAGGUGGGUUUGACAACGAUCUAUUUUGGUCAUGCCUGGCCCUUUCUGGCGUUUCCAUCUACACUAGUCUCAGAUGAUCCUGGGCUUUGGUCUUGGGUACACAGUAGAUGCUUAAUAAGUACUUGCUGAUUUGCCAGGAGACAACAUGGAUUUGGCUACUGGAUCAAAUAACCCCAGUGACAUUCCAGGAGGAUUUUGCUGAUGUAGAUAGGGGGACAAAGCGUUUGCUCUUCCAGAGGUGAAUACCAGGGGCAAUAAUCCAAGGACAGCAGGAAGGCUGUAUCUUUCUAUUCUGUAGUUCGCUUAAAUUCUCCUUCUCCUCGAAGUCCCCAGCAGGACAGUCGGGAAGCUCCACUGCAGGUUGUUAAAUCCACCAAGUGGUGGCAGGGUGCAACCUGGUGCUGUUACAAUCCUGUAAACCCUGCCACGUAUUUUUUGACCUCUUGCCUAGGGUCUAUAAAUUUAGAUCAUCUCCGCAGGAACAACAGAGAAUGGAGCUUUGAAAUCAACCUAUUUGUGGUUGCCAGCCUCCAAGAUGUCUCCAACCUGCCUCCCCUGCCAUCUGCCCCUUGCACACCCCCUCCCACAUGAAUCAGGGCUGGCCUAUGUGAACGACAGAACUUGGUAAAGGCAACAGUUGUCUGCCUUCUGAGGCUAAGUCGUAAAAGAUAAUGCAGCUUCCACCUAGGUCUUUUGGCUAGCUUGUUUUAGAGGAUGACUGCUAUUUUGAGGACACUUGGGCAUCCCUGUAGGGAAGCCCAUGCAGAGACGAACUGAGGCCCCACCCAAAAGCCGGCACUAACUUGCCAGUCAUGAGUGAGCCACCCUAGAGGUGGGUCCCCCAGCUCCAACCCAGCCUUCAGAGGACUUCCGCAAUGACCAGCGUCUGACUGCAGCCUCCUACUCAAGUUACUCCCAAAUUCCUGACCCACAGGAAAUAGUAAAUGAUUAGUGAGAGAUAGUAAAUGAUUAGUUGUUGUUUUUUUAAUUUUUAAUGUUUAUUUUCUGAGAGAGAGAGAGAGAGAGGAGAGAGAAUGAGAGGAUGAGUGGGGCAGAGAGAGAGACACAGAAUUCGAAGUAGGCUCCAGGCUCCAAGCUGUCAGCACAGAGCCUGAUGUAGGGUUCAAACUCACAAACCACAAGAUCCUGACCUGAGCAGAAGUAGGGUACUUAACUGACUGAGCCACCAGGUGCCCCUGAUUAUUGUUCUUUUAAGCCAUGAAGCUCGAGGUAAUUUUCCGUGCAGAGAUCGAUAAUUGUCACAUUAUUCUAUUGAAAAGUAAAAGGGUGCCUGGGUGGCUCAGUUGGCUGAGUGUUUGACUCUUGAUUUUGGCUCAGGUCAUGAGCUCAAUGAGAUUGAGCUCUGCAUCAGGCUCUGGCCUGGGCAUGGAGCCUGCUUGAGAUUCUCUCUCUCUCCCUCUUGCUUUGCCCCUCCCCUGGCUCGCAUUCUCUCUCUCUCUCUCUCUCAAAAAAAAAAAAAAAGUAUAAAGGUACAUAUGACCCAACAAUUCCAUUUCUAGAUAUAUGUCCAAGAGAACUGAAAACAUCUAUCCAACAAAACUUGUACACUGUGUUCAUUGAGGUGUUAUUCACAAUAGCCAAAAAGUGUCCAAGCUCAAAUGUCCACCAUCUGAUGAAUGGAUAAAUGAAAUGCCAUUCCAUACAAUGGACUAUUAUUCAGGCAUAAAAAAAGAUUGGAGUGCAGAUUCAUGGUUCAACAUGGAUGAACCUUGAGGACAUCAGCCCCAGUGACAUAAGCCAGUCACAAAAGACCAUAUAAUGAUUCAUUUGUAUAAAAUGUCCACACUAGGCAAAUCUAUAGGGACAAAAAGUGACUUAGUGGUUGCCUGGGGCUGGGGGAUAUGGGGGAAUGGGAGGUGACUAUUAAUGGGCACAAAGUUUCCUUUCAGAGUGAUGAAAAUAUGAAUUGUACACUUCAUAUGGGUGAAUUGUAUGGUAGGUGAAUUAUACCUCAACAAAGCUGUUACAAAAUUAUAAAGAGACAAACUAUACAGGGACCUCAUAAGACUUCUGUUCCUGUUCUUUUUAGUUAAGAUAUUAGUGUCUGUGGGGUUCUUGGAGAAGGUCCUAAGGGACUCACCUGGCUACAAGGUGGGAAAGAACAGCUAGAAUUGAAAGGGAGGAGCAGAGGAGAUGGUCUGCUAAGAUAAUUAAAGGAUAACUCUAACCUUCCAAAUGCUAUACAGUCAGAAUCAUGAAUCAUAAUCCCAACAAGAUUAGACUUUGGGGAGGAAAUUAAUAAUAGAAUCUGGAUUCUUCAUUAAGUCCUGGUGAGAAUGUUAUGUUUCCACCUCUGACGAAUGACAGCCAUUGUCAAGUGCAGUGUUCCUCCUCCACCUGCUGGAGCUUUAGCUCAGAUGCUAAGCUCAUCUUUUUUUUUUUUAAUCACCCCAGACCACUGAUGUUUUAGCCCAGAGUCUUUAUUUUGAACUUUGUUUUUAAAGUAAUCUCUAUGCCCAAUGUGGGGCUCAAACUCAUGACCCCAAGAUCAAGAGUUGCAUGUUCUUGGGGCACCUGGGUAGCUCAGUCAGUUGAGCAUCUGACUUUGACUCAGGUCAUGAUCUCCUGGUUUGUGAGUUCGAGCCCCGCGUCGGGCUCUGUGCUGACAGCUCAGAGCCUGGAGCCUGCUUCAGAUUCUGUGUCUCCCUCUCUCUCUGCCCCUCCCCCACUCAUGCUUUGUCUCUGUCUCAAAAAUAAACAUUAAACAAAAAUUUUUUAAAGCGUUGCAUGUUCUACCAACCAAGCCAGCCAGAUGCCCCUCAGAAUGUCUAUUCUGAACGCUAUUAAGUUACUGGUUAGAAAUGGUCACUCUCUCUCCCGUUUGGUAUAUGAAUACCAAUUUGUUGGACUCCAAAAAAUUUUAUAAUCAUUACUGUUUAAAACAAAAUUUGGUUCUACUUAUUCCUA